GGAUAGCUCAGUUGGUUACAGCAUGGUGCUGGUAAUGCCAAGGUUGCAGGUUCGAUCCCUGUAUGGGGAAGCU